UACGUAGGGGCCAAGCGUUGUCCGGAUUUAUUGGGCGUAAAGAGCUCGUAGGCGGUUCGGCAAGUCAGCUGUGAAAAUCUCCACGCUCAACGUGGAGGGGUCAGCUGAUACUGCUGUGACUCGAGUCCGGUAGGGGAGUGUGGAAUUCCCGGUGUAGCGGUGAAAUGCGCAGAUAUCGGGAGGAACACCAGUAGCGAAGGCGGCACUCUGGGCCGGUACUGGACGCUGAGGAGCGAAAGCGUGGGGAGCGAACGAGGA
rnacentral:rRNA from 1 species